GGUUCUGGCAUCGAUGAAGAACGCACCGAAAUGCGAUAAGUAAUGUGAAUUGCAGAAUUCAGUGAAUCAUCCAAUCUUUGAACGCACAUUGCGCCCCUUGGUAUUCCGAGGGGCAUGCCUGUUCGAGCGUCAUUAUAACCACUCAAGCCUCGGCUUGGUCUUGGGGUUCGCGGUCUCGCGGCCCUUAAAAUCAGUGGCGGUGCCGUCUGGCUCUAAGCGUAGUAAUUUUCUCGCUAUAGGGUCCAGGUGACCACCUGCCAAAACCCCCCAUUCUUUACGGUUGACCUCGGAUCAAGUAGGGAUACCCGCUGAACUUAAUCAUAUCAAAGCCCGGAGGAACUGGCAUCGAUGAAGAACGCAGCGAAAUGCGAUAAGUAAUGUGAAUUGCAGAAUUCAGUGAAUCAUCGAAUCUUUGAACGCACAUUGCGCCCCUUGGUAUUCCGAGGGGCAUGCCUGUUCGAGCGUCAUUAUAACCACUCAAGCCUCGGCUUGGUCUUGGGGUUCGCGGUCUCGCGGCCCUUAAAAUCAGUGGCGGUGCCGUCUGGCUCUAAGCGUAGUAAUUUUCUCGCUAUAGGGUCUAGGCGACCACCUGCCAAAACCCCCCAUUCUUUACGG
rnacentral:rRNA from 1 species